GAAGGGUAGCGAAGAGGCUAAACGCGGCGGACUGUAAAUCCGCUCCUUCGGGUUCGGGGGGUCGAAUCCCUCCCCUUCCA
rnacentral:tRNA from 1 species